UUCUUUUCAAAACAAUACAUUGUAUCUGAACGAAAGCAUUGAUAAUUUAAUUGAUUUCCAAAAGAGGUUACUUGAAAGAAAAUCGGAUCUCGGUUCUUCAGGCCGUCCUUUGGGUUGGCAAAAGUAUUCAUGAUGAUUUUUUUGCUUGAAACUGAGUUCAAAAACAUAGAUGAGGUUAAUAAAAUCGAACAGGAAAAGAAUUUGAUUGUGCUUGGUACAGUCAUAAGUUUCCCUCCUGGUGUUGAGUGGUAUUACAAUUAUUGUAAAGAUUGUAUGAAGAAGGUUACUGUUUUGUAUUUUAUAAGUGAUGGUGAUGAUGGAUUAGAUUUAAGUGAGGACAAACAGACCAUUUGAUGCAUAAAUGAUGUUUGCAAUGAAAUAGGUGUUUCUGUGGUUCCCAGGUUGAAACUUCAAAUUAGGAUACAAGAUGGUACCGGUAUUGCAUCUCUAACUUUGUUAGACCAUGUAGCUCGAAAAUUACUUGGAAAGAGUGCUCAAGAGUUGGUUGAUAAGUUUGUUGAUGGUGGAAUGGAUAAUUUGCUCCCUGAUGAAAUUAGUAAUUUGGUUGGCAAAAAGAUGGCGUUUAAGAUUGAGAUUUCUCACUUUAACGUGAAGAAUAACUACAAGUCAUUCACUGUCAAAAGAUUUUCUGAUGAUCCCGCAAUAAUUUCUCAGCUUGAAUCAAAGUUAGGGAUUGACCAUGUUGACCUUUCAAACUCGGUGAAUAUCACAUUUGAUGAUUUUGAAAGUACUGAAACUGUCGAUCUGAAGGAUGAUAUCCCGAUAUCACUGAUUGGUUCAAGCAAUGGAUCAAUAUCUGCUGCUGCAAAAAGUACUGAAACAUAAGGCUACAUUCUGAGCUGAAGCGUAAUCUUGUGGACUCAUAUGAUCAUGACGAAUCAGCAACAAAAGCUCCUUUAGCU